rnacentral:rRNA from 1 species
GAUGAACGCUGACAGAAUGCUUAACACAUCAGCAAUUGAUUGGUGGCGGACGGGUGAGUAACGCGUACAGAACUUGCCUCACAGCUAGGGACAACAUUUAGAAAUAAAUGCUAAUACCUGUUCCUGUGUGAGGGCUUUGCGUCCCAUUAGCUAGUUGGAGAGGUAACAGCUCACCAAGGCGAUGAUGGGUAGCCGGCCUGAGAGGGUGAACGGCCACAAGUGGCCUGGGACACGGCCCUUACGACUCCUGGAGGCAGGAGUAGAGAAUAUUGGACAAUGGACCGAAGUCUGAGCCAGCAAUGCUGUGUGCAAGAUGUAGUUUUCGGAAUGUAAGGUGCUUUCAGUUGGGAAGCGGUACCAACAGAAGAAGUGACGGCUAAAUACGUGCCAGCAGCCGCGGUAAUAC